ensembl:lncRNA
AUUUUGGACCGGCUCUUAGCUGAUCGUAGUCCUUCUGCUCUGGGGCAUCGGACUGCCCCCGAACCAGUUAAAAGCAAUCUAGCUAGCACUACACUUGACUUAUCCAGGUUGAAUCUGAUUGUACGUUCUGACAGUAGAAGCCCUCCUAUUUUCCGUGGUGAUGGUACGGAUAAACAUACUGUUCAUGAGUGGAUAGAAUUGAUGGAGGUUUACUUACAGAAUUGUGAUCGCCCGAAAGCAGAGCAUUCCAUUGAGAUUUUGAACCACCUUUUGGGUAGAGCUAAAAACAUUGUAAAAGUGGGGCUAAAAAGUAAUCACUCACCUGACAUGGUUGUUACCCCUGAAACCAUUUACAAAAUGCUCUUACGCUACUUCAGUGAGACCCCAGAAUCUUGUCUUCCACUGGCAGACUUCUAUUCUACAAUGCCAUAUGACAAAGAAAGCCCUGUUGACUAUUGGGUCCGUCUCAAUAAUGCGGCCGAAAUCGCUGAUAAUCACCUACAGAAAGAGGGUAGUCGAAUGAAGAACAUUUCACAGGAAAUUGCAAUGAUGUUCAUUAGAAACUGCCCUAAUGUUGAACUUUCUAGUAUGUUCAGGUACAAGCCUAUCACGAAGUGGUCAUCAGCAGAGGUGCAAGAGGCAAUUGACGAGCAUCAAAGGGAGCUGAGAACCAAGAAUCCACAUCCUUACUCUUUCCCUGGCAAUUCGCUUCAGGUAGCAACUGCCGCCGUCAGGCACACAGAGGCCUCUACAGGGGACAACACUGCAGUUAACUCAGCAGCGUGCAUCCCUGGUACCCAUGCCACAAAGCCUGAGAUCGCCACAGCGCCUCCACACACAGCCUUGACUGACACUGGUACAUUAGAGCGAGUGCUCAGCAUGCUGGAAAGAGUGCUCGAACGCACUAAUGCGCAGGCUGCUUCUGAUAGACCGCAAAUACCUUCUUGGUCUCGUCCAUCCAAAUGUCGUGUUUGUGGUGAGAGAACCCAUUCCACACGGUCACACUGCAUGUCUGAGAAAAGAUGUCUAAACUGCUUAGAAGUUGGUCACCUGCGCAGGGAUUGCCCUAAGAAAAAUGCUGAGUAUGGGAGUCGCUCCCAGAUUCAGGGAAACUGACACGCCUGCACUUGGGAGGGGAUAGUGUG